GACACUAUAGCCAAGUGGUUAAGGCGACAGAUUAGAAAUUUCAGGGCACUCCCCGAAAGCAACAUUCUGUUUCCCUCUGGGAGCGUAGGUCCGAACCCUACUGGUGUCG